rnacentral:rRNA from 1 species
UCCUACGGGGCGCAGCAGUGGGGAAUAUUGGGCAAUGGGCGCAAGCCUGACCCAGCAACGCCGCGUGAAGGAAGAAGGCUUUCGGGUUGUAAACUUCUUUUGUCAGGGACGAAGCAAGUGACGGUACCUGACGAAUAAGCCACGGCUAACUACGUGCCAGCAGCCGCGGUAAUACGUAGGUGGCAAGCGUUAUCCGGAUUUACUGGGUGUAAAGGGCGGGUAGGCGGGGGAGCAAGUCAGAUUUGUAAACCACGGGCUCAACCUGUGGCCUGCAUUUUAAAGUGUUUUUCUUGAUUACUUGCGAG